UACGAGGGGUGCAAGCGUUGCUCGGAAUUAUUGGGCGUAAAGGGUAGGUAGGUGGUCUCAUUUGUCUGGGGUGAAAGCCUUGGGCUUAACCCAAGAAGUGCCCCGGAAACGGUGAGACUAGAGUUCUGGAGAGGGUCGUGGAAUUCCCGGUGUAGCGGUGAAAUGCGUAGAGAUCGGGAGGAACACCAGAGGCGAAGGCGGCGACCUGGACAGAUACUGACACUCAACUACGAAAGCGUGGGGAGCAAACAGG
rnacentral:rRNA from 1 species